rnacentral:rRNA from 1 species
UUCCGGUUGAUCCUGCCGGACCCGACUGCUAUCAGAGUGAGAUUAAGCCAUGCGAGUUAACGUAGCAAUACGUGGCGCACGGCUCAGUAACACGUAGUCAACAUGCCCAGAGGACGUGGAUAACCUCGGGAAACUGAGUCUAAACCGCGAUAAGUGAGGAUUUCUGGAAUGGUUCCUGACUAAAAUCUAUAUGGCCUCUGGAUUGGACUGCGGCCGAUCAGGCUGUUGGUGAGGUAAUGGCCCACCAAACCUGUAACCGGUACGGGCUCUGAGAGGAGGAGCCCGGAGAUGGGCACUGAGACAAGGGCCCAGGCCCUAUGGGGCGCAGCAGGCGCGAAACCUCUGCAAUAGGCGAAAGCCUGACAGGGUUACUCUGAGUGAUUUCCGCUAAGGGGAUCUUUUGGCACCUCUAAAAAUGGUGCAGAAUAAGGGGUGGGCAAGUCUGGUGUCAGCCGCCGCGGUAAUACCAGCACCCCGAGUGGUCGGGACGAUUAUUGGGCCUAAAGCAUCCGUAGCCGGUUCUGCAAGUCUUCCGUUAAAUCCAGCCGCUCAACGGAUGGGCCGCGGAGGAUACUACAGAGCUAGGAGGCAGGAGAGGCAAGCGGUACUCAGUGGGUAGGGGUAAAAUCCGUUGAUCCAUUGAAGACCACCAGUGGCGAAGGCGGCUUGCCAGAAUGCGCUCGACGGUGAGGGAUGAAAGCUGGGGGAGCAAACCGGAUUAGAUACCCGGGUAGUCCCAG